CGCCUGGAGAGACAAGAUGGCGGAGCUUGCGAAAUCGAAAAUUGGUACUUGAAAGUCAAUGGUUGAUCAUGCUGACCAUCUUUAAUUUAAUGGGGAAAGAUUAACCAAUAUCUGCAGCUGGACAGGCUGUCACCACAGUUCAAUGAUUUAGUUAAGACAAUGAAAUCGAAGAACUUCAUGCUAACACUUGCAUCAGUGGAAGUACUUCUUAUUGGAUAGAGAACUUUUCAAGGUCAGACAUCAGCUUUUGAAGUUGCUAUCUUGGCACAUCAUGCUGUCCAGUGGAGAUCAUACCAUAUGCCAGGCCUUUAUACAUGGUCAAAGAAGAUGAAUUUGUUAUUCAAUUUGUGAAAUUUGAUUUAAGGAGGACUUUCAUAUAUGAUGAUUAUAUUCAGCAGAUUAUCUUCAAGUGUGCACUUUAUAGAAUCACAGUUUCUAGGAGGUUUUCAAUUUAAAGUUAGAUUAAUUGAAAAAUGAUGAAAAGUACAUUGUUAGAACUUCAAAUAUGCAACAUAAAGGUGAAUAUAGGUAAAUUCAUAAAUUCUCACCACAGGGUGUGUGGGUUAGUGAAUUUGAGUUGUGCAAAUUCAGUACAUAGAUCUAUAAUCUUAAUCGGCUGAGAAUUUCUUCCCUUAAAUGAUGGUCUUUAAGUCUUUAAUAUUGAAAUAAAUUUGCAUCUGUGCUUCUAUGGCAUUACUAGGAAAGACACGUUAUUAUACAUUCUACAUUGUAACAGUUGGAGUUUAGAUCCUAUAAUUGUAAAACAUAAAAUAAAUGUUGAAAGUUUCA
rnacentral:lncRNA from 1 species